AAUAGACAUUUCUAUUUUGUUUCUAAUCCUUGCUAUAUGCAAUGCUAAUGCAGCAUCAGAAAAUUAUCUAAUGCAUUGCAUUUUGUAUAUAUUAAUUUUUUUUUCCUAUGCUAAAUGAUAAUCUGUUGGGCUGUGUUUCUUCUAAACUCAUUGGGACAGUAAUUAUUAAAAAUCAGUUAAAUUGGGGUUGCAGUUCUUCCUCUGACUUAACCGUGUGAAUUGCUCUAUUAAUUUUUAUUUUUGCUUAUUUUAAAAUAAAGCAGGGUUCAAUUUAUGACAAAAGUAGUACAAUUUUUUACUCCAAGGUUUUGAAUUUUUUUUAUGCAUUUUACCUGCCUUUACUCUAUCCUUCUCACAUUAUUAAGACUCCAGAUUUCAAGGAAAUGGUUCUUUGAAAGAUUGACUUUUAGGCUAUAAUCUGUACUACCCUUGAGUUAAACAGGAAUUUUUCUAGGACUCUUGCCCCCAAAGUAAAAAUGAGUGGUACUUUGAAAUUAAUUACUCAGUCCAAGAUUUUCAAAAUUUCAAGUUGGGGGAUAAAAGUCAUAGUUAAAUUUAGGGAUAUAAUCCAAAUAGGAUUUUUUAGUCAUAAAAGUUUGAAUUUUGUCUGAAGAUUUUUAAAAGCCAGAGAAACACCAUUUUACUAAAAGAGAAUACAUUUAAUCUUUGAUUUAAGUCCAAAUUUUUUAUUUUAUUAUUAUUUAUUUCCCCCCAAACUCCCUCCAUAUAUUCAUUGAAUUGUCUUAAAUUAGAUGAAUUUCUAGGUAGCUGGGAUAGAUUUACUUUUUUUCAACUCAAAGCUUAAUAUGUAGUAAAAUUAAAUUUCAAAAACUCAGAAAUAGCACCAUAUUGUCUGUAUGUUGUAAAUUGAACCCUGUUUAGUCAUAUUAACAUUGGCUUACUUUUAGCACCUCUGGUCAUUUUUUGAAUAAGGUGAUUUAUUCUUGGGCAAAGGGCUCUUCAUUUAUGGAGAAUCAAUUGUUCACUUCUUUGUAUUUGUGGUACCUUAGUGUGAAUCAUCUGGUAAUAUUUCAAUCACUUUCGUUAGCUACGAGCACUGUUGCAUAAUUCUUUUUCAACAAAUUUCCUUUUUAGUAUAUACUAUCUUAAUAGUACUUUAGAGGUUCUUGUACUUUCAUAUAAUUUGAAAAAUUUGAAGGGACUUUGUAUGUACAAUUUAUCAAAGAACUUGCAGAGUUUAAUUACUUAAGAAUUUUGCCUUGUGUGAAAGUUACUUUGUAUAUAAUUAAAAUUUUUGAAUAAUUUAUCUGUUUGAUUUUUGAUCCUAGGGUUAUAUUGCUUUGUUAAAUAUAUUGACUUAAUUUUCAUUUUUUUUCUGUGUAAUGAAUAUAUAACAUUGAAUAUCUAUCUGAAUGUGAUUAUUUGAAAGACUUCAAUUAAUUUCUUAGAAUUGAGAAUAUUAUUGGAAGGAUAGUUCUUUGGUAGCAUAAAAAAAAAAAGCAAGAAUGUUAUCAAAAAGUUUUUUUGUCAUGCUGGUUUCUAUAGCUAUGUUUUUGGGGAGACAUGUUAACUUUCUUCAACUUUUCAAACUUAUGUUAGUUUUUCACUUCCAGAGACCACAGUUGCAGCCGUGGUUUAUAUGUCUGUAUUUGUUUUCAGUUGGAAUCUUUUAGUAUUUUCUAUUGACAUAUAAUUGACUUAAACUAUUAGAUUAGUUUUAUAUAUACAAUGUUGAAUACAAGAUUCAACAUUUUUAUAAUUACCCACCAUACAGAGUUAUUACAGUAUUUGUGACUAUGUUCCCUUUGCUAUACCUUACAUCCCUGUGACUUACUUUGUAACUGAUAUUUUUAUAUUUCCAACAUAUAUCCCAGGUGAUAUAGAAGGAAAAACGUACUUCUCCAUUUCUUCUUCAUUUUCUUAUUUAAUCCACUCAGUAACCUCAGUUAGCUACUCAUUGUUAUUUCCCUGUUUUCCCUAUGAGAGCACGGUCAAAGGGUAUACAGAGUAUCUGUUGGUUACACAGCUAGCACGCGUCAGAGCCACGAUUUACACUGAGCUCGUCCAACUCCACUGUUUGUCCUCUUCCACACUGUACUGUAUUACCUCUUAAUAAAAUUUACUGAAGCCUGUAAGGAUUCAAAGACAAAUCUGUCGUAUGACUUAUAACUAGAUCAUCUGGUUAUGACUCUGUUCUAUCUACAUGGUAACCUAGAAAAGUAAAAAGAUGGCUCAUAUCAAACUCUGUCUAAGCUCCAGCUCAUGGGUGCCAUCAUGGUACCCAUCACCCAACUAUAAUAUACAGUGCCUGGAAGUCUACCUUUCUCAAAGAGCAGACUCAAGUGAAAGUAACAAGAGUCAACAGUCGAGUUCCCUGACCUGUCCAUCUGAAGCCUGGCUUCAUGUUUCCUAACUGACAGUUAGCUCAGGUAAAUGACACUGACAGUGUGGUCAUUGUUCAUGCAGAAGAAUACAGCCUAAAAAGACAUAACUGUAGUUUUGUGAAUUAACAGUAAAAAUAUAGCAGAGUGUACUGUAUAAUGCAACUCUAGCAUCCCUAUGCAUAUAGGGAUUUGUUUUGCCUGUUCAUACUUUAUGAUUAAUUUUUGUUACUAAAAAUCUUAAUGGCCAGAAUUUUGAAAAUCAAUAACUUUCCCAUAGUUAGCAAUUUCAGUAAAUCAUUUUGAAAAUAAGAUUGGUUAUCAAUUUUUUAUCCAUUAUUUAUAUUUUAUAAAAUUUCAGAAAUAUAUAAAGCUUUUUGUUAUUCUAAGUUUAUAUAAAAAUAGUCCUAAAAUAUGUAUGUUUGUUAAAAGUAUUAAAUUUUUCAUGAUGUACUUGUGAAUAAAAUAUGGUCCAGAUGUUAGCAUUCUUUGGUAGAUUUUGAUUAAACUUCUCUAAAGAUUAUUCUCUCUCAUUAUGAGUACUUUAUUCAGAAAGUAGAUACCUAGCUGUAUUCUGUAGUCUCUUAUCCUGCCAAUGUCCCAUUUUAUUACUAAUAUCCAUAUAGAAGGAAUGAAAGUGUAAGGAGGAAGUAAUAUUGGAGAAUAAAGAAUAAAGAGUCAGGAAAUAAGGUCACUUAAUUAGUGCAGUGCCAAAACAAGCAGGAGUAAUAGCUUUAUGUAAUGAGCACCUCUAAGUUCUACAUAUUACACUAGGCGUUUGUCAUAUGGUAUUUGUUAAUUAUAAGAAAGAUAAUACCUGCAGAGCCCUUUUUAAUUUCUCAAAUUUCUGAAUUAGCUGUUACUUUGGGAAUGAUUGGUUUUCUUGCUUAGCAAAAACUGAAGUAAGUUUUGAAGUCAAUUUAAAUGAAAAUAAUGCCCAGGUGCUGUUUUCAUGAGUUCUCCUAUACGUGUGUACAUGCUCAGUUGCUCAGUCAUGUCACUCCUUGCAACCCCAUGGACUGUAGCCCCCGGGCUCCUCCUCUAUGCAUGGGAUUCUCCAGGCAAGAACCCUGGAGUGGGUGGCCAUUUCCACCUCCAGGGGAUCUUCCCAACCCAGGAUCGAACCCACGUCUCUUGCAUCCCCUGCACUGGCAGAUGGAUUCUUUACCACUCUGCCACCACAUGUGUCCCAGUUACUCCUUUUUUAUAUGUAAGUGUUCUAACAGACUUAAAUCUGUUCUGAAUCAUAUUUUAAAUCACUGACUCAUUAAAUCCUACAUUUUAAAGCAACUCAGCCCUUUUAGUUUUCAAGAAAAGAAUUUGAGCCUCAAAGAAGUCAAAUGCAUAUCCAAAGUAAUAGCACAUGUUAAUGACUUAGUCAAGGUCAGAAUCCCAGUUUCUUGAUCCUAUACUACAGCAUGUCUCUGCUUUCAUAAUGUGUGGCCUCUUCUUGUGCUCUCUUCCCAAUUCAUUUAUGUUUGCAAUUUGAAAAACAAUUUCUCAGAGGUUUGUUUGGAAUUUUCUAUAUGAAUUUGAAAAGAUAUGUAUGUAAUUAAGGUUUGUUUUUUGUUUACAAUUUUAAUUUGAUUUUUUAUUUUGUUCUAAGAAUUUUAAGUUUUAAAAUUAUUCUAAUUUAUUAUAAAACAAAGUAGUACUGAUAUUUCUAGUUUAUAUCCCCCAAUAUUCAUCCCAAAAUGCGGCUGCUACAUCUAUAGAAGUUCAUCUUUAUAUUUAAUCCUCAAUAUGGCCAUUGAAAGAACAGAAGCUUGUCUUGAAAGAGAAGAUGAGUCAAGUGUUCAAUAAAACCCCUUUUACAGGAUCACUGAAGUCUGAGGAUUUGGGCAUAUCAUAUGUUCAAACUCUAAUUCUGUUUCUGACUGUAUUUUCUGUCAAAUCGCAUAAUAAAAUCUGCUCAGCAAAGUCUGUGUCUUAUA